UUGCUUUGGCAGCACAUAUAUUAUAAUUGGAAUGAUACAGAGAAAAUUAGCAUGGCCCCUGUGCAAGGAUGACACGCAAAUCCAUGAAGUGUUCCAUAUUGAA